ACCCAUGAGACUAGAAUUUUAACAGAAGUGCUACUAGGGUGCAGAAGUCAGGGAGGUUAGGGGGCCAUCUGAAGAUUUUGCGGUUGGAAUCAAUCUCGAGGAAAGGUCGUUUUCUUCAGGGAGACGUGCAAAAUCACCUAGACGGGAAACACAGUAUAGAAACGGAGGGAAGGGUACUUGGAAGGAUGAAACACGAAGAGGGUGAACAAGUUGGAUGGAGAUGAGGGGGUUGGAGCUAAGCUGGAAACUCUGACCUUGACCACUAGCACCCCUAGCCCAUGAGAUUGUUAUGGAGCGUAGAGCAGGAGACGAUGCUUUGGAAAGACUUCAGGCAUAUAGCACCCACUGGCUUGGGACGGAUUUGUAAGAAACACCAGCGGGAGCCUUUACGACAGAUCUGUGCUAUGUCUUGAGGCUGAAUUGAGGCAUUUGUGCUGGGAGUGCAGAGGAGGAAGACAGUUAUGCUUGGUAUUGCCACGGGAAGAAGACAGAUCUCAAGGAUCAGAACUGGCUGCUGCUUGAGCCUAGUUGCUUGGGGCGAGGCAGCCUCUGUUCUUUCCUUCCCUCCUCUUUGGAGAGUUUUUGUUUCCUUCUCUUCAGGGGGUCUCUUAGCUGAUGUUAGGGGCAUUUGUGUUUACAAAGAAUAGCAUAAAAAACCACUAUAAUCCUACUGUUUUUAUACACAGAGUAAACAGCUCAAAAAAAAAAAAAAAGUAAGUAAAUAAAACCCGCAAGAUUUAAAGAGUUAGAAACAGGUUGAGAAAAAGAGCCGAAAGAUCAGAGUCCCACUUCUACCCUCCUUCCUCCCAGGUUAUUGACUACUGCUGAUGGAUGAGGCGAAAUACUCACAGUGCCACGAAGAAAUGAAUUCGCUGGUACUGCCAGGAGAAGAGACCAGCGCGGCUAAAAUAGGCGAUGACCAUGGACAAGAGAUACUGGCGGAAAGAGGAGAAAAGCCGUCAUAGAAGGGUCCCAUCCUGGGAGAGGAAGACCAGUGAGUGGCAUCGGGGUACAAAGAUGGCCUGUCCUCCCCUCCCCGCCCCCGCCCCCGGCCCCGCCCCCGCCCCGACACAGCGGAAGGCACUCAGACUCAAAAGGCCAGUAAGCGCUAAGAUGUCUCAGGAGUGCGACCGCACCUAAGCUUUCUCAUCCCUCUGUCAUUUCUAAGUGUCCCCGAUGAGGGGUCAGUAUGGAGUCCUCCAAGGAUGGAGAGAGAGAGCUCAGCGACCUGCAAAGAAUUAUUUUCCAUUGGAAAAGCGUAGCCAUUGGAAGUUUCUUGUGUUUUCAGGAAAAACGAAUAAGGUUGGAGGGUGCUGUUCCUACCGAGCAGCCUGUUGAACGCCUCGUGGUGCUCAGGGAGCACUGAAGAUACCCGCUGUCUCUUCAGCUUCAUCUUGAGUCCCCUCAGUGUCUCCACCACCCAGAUGUCGUUGGCCUCAGGGGCUGUCUCCUCGUCGGAUUCGAUGUCUCUCUUCCUUCCGCGGGACUGAGGCAAGGGGCAGGGGUCUACAAAGGGGGCUGAGUGAAGAAACCAGGCUACAGUACGAAGCUUCUUCUGUCUUUGGAAUUCAGCCACGCUUUCCACACCCGCAAACCCAAACUCCCUCUUCAUUCUCUGUAGCCUCAUAGAUGAUUGGCCUCUCCAAAACCACCUUUCAUCUUUGUCCUUCAUUCAUAUGCAUUUGCCCCCAUUCAUCUUUGCCACUGUUUCAUACCUCCCACCACGCCCUCAAAACUCUUCCUCGUAGAUCAUUUCUCCCAUGAGGAUAAUGGGAUAAUGUCCUCUCUUCCUUUCUCUCAUCUUUGGAUCUCAUCACCUAACCCUCCUUCCUUGCUUCCUGGGUUUUCCUGCCAGUGGGAUACCCUUGUCCCCGGCUCCCGUGCUCUCUUCUCCAAUCCCUGGCUUUCUGAAUCUCUCCUGUCACGUGCAGUCUAGUCAGACACACCUUCCUGGCUUCUGUACCCAUUUGUACUCACUAGUCAAGCCUGUCAAGGCUUCUCCCUCCUGCUUCUCCCUCCUGCCUCCUCACCUGAUGGUCCUGGGCUUUCUUCAUCUACCACGGCCUCCGGGGGGUACCCUGAUGUGCUAGGCUGGGGGCUCUGGCCCUCAGACUGGGCGGACGGUUGACAACUGGCCAUGAUUUCUCCCAAGCUCUUUGCGCCCUCCCAGGAGACUCAGACCCUCCUCUUCUCAAACUCCCCUUCUGGCUUCUGGGUGAACCCAAGCCCUGUUAUCCCUUCUCUAAGCUGGGGCCAAGCUAGGAGUAUGGACAUGCUCUGCGAAGAUGCUCUUGUCCACCUCCGUUGCCAAGAACCACGGAGUCCAGUCUUUCCAAUCAGGAAGGUCAGAAGCCUCUGAUGUCAUGCACCAUUCCAGCCUGGCAGCCAUUUUGAAGGAAGACACGUGCAACUGCGAGACCGAGGUCCACUUCUGGAGUUCAGGAUCAAGGCUAUCUCAAGUCGCCGAUCCGGCCUGCAGCCAUCCUCCAAAACGGUCCUCGGGGUGUCUGGAUCACUCUACUCCUCUCCAGCAGAUGCGGGGCUCUCUGCAUCCUUCUAUUCCUGUUUCAGGGUGCAGUCUGGCAGGAGAGGGAGGAAACAGACGAGGGAAGACCUCGAGACGCCCUAGGAAGACGGCUUGCAGUGCUAACUCACAGAACAGAAUUCUGGGAUGGGGAGACGGGAAGAGGUUCUGGAUACCGACUUCGAAGAUCUGGUGUCUGAAGCUCAGUAUUAAAGGGAAAAUCUGGACACAAACAUCCAAGUAGAGAGAAGAGAGUGUGAUGACACAGGGAGAGAAGACUGACAUCUACCAGCCAGGGAGGGAGGAUGCAAGAGCCCCUCCCCCACAGCACUCAGAAGGAACCAGCCCUGCCCACACCUGAAUCUCAGACUCCCAGCCUCCAGAACAGUGAGAGAAUGUAUUUUUGUCGUGCCCACACCUGAAUCUCAGACUCCCAGCCUCCAGAACAGUGAGACCAUGCAUUUUUGUCGUGAACGCCUGAAAGCUGCCUGGUUUGUCUUACUUUGUUACAGCUUCCCUGUAGGCAGAUCCAACCAGUAUUUUUGAAGAAGAGGGAAUUCAGAUUUGACAGUCACUUUCCUGAUCCUUCUGCUGCCCCUUUCCCUAAGGCAAGACGCGUCCAUGUCCAGAGGCUUCAAAGAAGAACCGGUUCUUUCACACAGAUUAGAACCUUGAAUGCCUCUGGCAUUUCCUGGUCAAGGUGACUGUGUUCAUUUUGGAAAACAAGGUGGAAAGACUUCAAGAGAAGAAUGAUUUACAAAUCUUGAAGAUGGGUGCCAGUUAGCUUAAUAAAACUGAUGCAUUAAAGAGAGAAAAAUAAACGGGAGCAAACCGAGGCGACUACUUAGGAAAUUAAGGGUGGGAAAGGCUUCUUCAAAGACAGUGUCUAAGCAGAUGAAAAGUAUGAAGAGGAAGUGAACGAUUUGAACACAGAAACAAUAUCCAUAUGACAGAAAAUAAAGUAAAACAUUAGGUUACAAAGAUCAAUGACUUGGGUCGCCUGGGUGGCUUUGCAGUUUGGUCGCUGCCUUCUGGCCAGGGCAUGGUCCUGGGGUCCCGAGAUCCAGAUUGGCCCCCGUCGGGCUCCCCUUGGGGAGCCGGCUUCUCCCUCCACCUGUGUCUCUGCCUCUCUGUGUGCGUCUCUCAUGAAUGAAUGAAUGAAUGAAUGAAUAAAGCUCGAUGAUAAAUUGGGAGAAA